rnacentral:misc_RNA from 1 species
UUGCCAUGCAGCUGCUGUGAAAUUAUACAGAGAAAAGUAUCAGGCUUCUCAAGGAGGACUUAUUGGGAUUACAGUAUUCACAGCUUGGAUGGUUCCCAAAUAUGAUAAUGUUGCUAGCAGGAAGGCUGCCUCUAGAGAACGCGAUUUUUUGAUCGGAUGGAUUAUGCAUCCAAUUACUUAUGGCGACUACCCGGUGACCAUGAGAUAUUUUGUGGGUAAUAGACUGCCAGAAUUUACAGAAGCACAAGUAAAAAUGGUGAUAGGAUCCUUUGAUUUCAUUGGAGUAAAUUACUAUACAGCAUCAUAUG